GACAAUGCAGAGUUGUUUUUGAAGGAUUUGUUAGACGAAAGGCUGGAGGCUCCAAGCAAUGAAUUGGCAAAGGCAGUGGUGCUUGUGAUGAGUUUAGCCUUGGCUUGUAUACGUAUGCGUCCAGGGUCUCGACCUACAAUGCUUUACGUAGCACAAAAACUAUCAGCUCAGAGUCUGCCUUCCCUUCCUUUACCAUUUGGCAUGCUAACCAUCAACAAGCUGAUGGGGAUAUAAAAACUAGAAGGAAGAAAAAAAACAAAACUAGUUGGAAAGUUUCCAACUGUAACUUUAAUUAAAUGCUAAAAUAGGGAGACCUCUAGGAGCUCCUAAAUCUGAAGAGAGAGAAGAAGGGACCCUUAGUGACUCUCUUUAAUUAAAUGCUACUGUAUUUUAUUAUUAGUUUAAACAUUUAUUUAAUGAUGUCUUUAAUUUUAUAAUUUUUUUUCUUCAUUUUAUUUAAUGAUAAUCAACAUUCAACGGAUGACAUGGCCAAUCAAUCUAUAAACGAAGGAAUAAUGCUACUCUUACCACAUUCUCAUACCACUUUAUGUGGCAAUUGAGGUGAACAACCAUAUCAAUUAAAAUUAUUAAAUAUUUUAUUUUCUUUUAUGAUUUAUUAAAAUUUUAAAAUAAAAAAAAACUGUUCAUUAAACUUUCCUUAUUAAAAUACACUUCAUUAAUUUAAUUGAUGUGGCAUAUGAUAUGGACAUGCCACAUUAUGUGGUAUAGAAAUGUGGGAUAAAAAUGUAGUACGUGUAGCAUUACUCUAAAUGAAGAGUUGCAAACUCAAUCAGUCAACAAAAAAAAGCAACGAUCUCGCAACUUCACAAUGAAGAAGACAAUCUCCUUGUAUCAGCUUGGUUCAACGUCAGCUUGAAUGCGGUACCAAGAAAUGAGCAAAAAAGUGGAACAUAUUGGAAGAUAAUUUGGGAAUACUUCCAUGAAUACAAAAGCUUUGUGAGUGAUCGGUCUGCCAAUUCUUUAAUGCACUGUUGGCCAACAAUUCAACUUGCUGUGAAUAAGUUUUGUGGAUGGUAUGCUCAAAUUGAACAAACAUCAAAGUGAUCUCAAUGAACAAGAUAAGGUAACAUUAUAUGUGAAAUUAUAUAUAUAUAUAUAUAUAUAUAGGGCGGAUUACAAGUUUUGACACAAUUUUUGGGCCAUUAGAUUAUUCCACUUUUAAUGGUUGAGAUUAAACAUGACAAGGCAAAACAAUAUUUUUUUCUUUAAUUAAUAUUUAUACAUUGGGAUUAAAAUUCUGAUACCAUAUUAAUUAAGAAUUCAUUCUCUCUCAUCUCAUUAAUUAUCCUUAAUUAAUUAAUUCUCUCUUUUUCUUCUACACAGAAUUGACGCCUCCUCCUUUUCUCCUCUCUCGUCUCCAAAUCAGCUUCUUAAUUAAUAUUUGCAUUGUGGUUUCAUUUCAUAUUCAUUUUCCUCCUAAAUUUCUUCCUUUCACUUUUUUUUUUUAAUGUCUGUCUAAGAGGUGAAAGACCUGAUUGUCAUCAGAGAAUUUAUUCAGUGAAAUACUUCAUUGAUCAAAGCUAUAGGCAGACCUGACUGGUUUCAUAUCAUUUUCAUUUGCCGAUUUAAUUAAAGAACUGAGAACUUAGAGAUCAAUAUAGGCAGAUAGAACCAGAUCAAUACCAGAGAGAGAGAGAGAGAGAUUAGAUUAACAAGAAAAAAUGGAUAUUACCAAGAUGAGAGAUUACGUUUUUAAAAAAAAAGGGAGGAGAGAGAAAAUAAUUUUAUUUAAUUUUUAUGAGAGAGAAAAUAAAAUUAAUGAUUGUUUAUUUAAAACAUUAAAACUAUUUGCAAUAUUAGAUUUAAUCUCAACCACUAAAAAUGGAGUAAUCUAAUGACCCAAAAAUUGUGUCAAAACUCGUGUCAAAAAUAUGGUGCCACGGAUCUAGGGGUGGCAAAAAUCCCCUUAGGGGCGGAUCCCCGACCUUAACGGGAGGAGAUUUCAGGGCUAAAUGGGUAUCGGGUACGGGGAUCCCCGAACUUGAAAAAUCCCCGACGGGUAUGGGGAAGGGAUGGUAUUGGCGUCCCCAUCCCCGAACCUUACCCGAAAAUAUAUAUGUUUAUAUUUAAUAAAUAAAUAUAUAACUAUAAUAUUUAUGUUUAACUCUAAGUUAACUUCCCUCUCCUAAUUCUUCCUAAUGAACCGUUGAAUUUACAUCCAACAGUGAGCGACCACAAAUCUCUUGGACUCCUGUGGUCCAAGAGAUCGGGACUGUGAUAAUGUAAUAUGAAACUUAAUGUUAAAAUGUAUGAUAAAUAUUUUUUUAUGAAAAAAAAUCGAAGAUUCGGGGCGGGUAUGGGGGAUAGGCCCCUGACAGGGACGGGGACGGGGAUUCCCCGAAACCUAAUAAACGAGGAUGGAUUCGGGGAUGGGGGUGGGGAUGGAGAGCGGAGAUGGGGAUGGUAUUGUCAUACCCUGCCCCUACCCGACCCGUUGCCAUCCCUACAUGGAUCCGCCCCUAUGUAUAUAUAUAUAUAUAUAGUUUCAUUUUAUAAUUCAGUUACUUUUUUCAUUUUAUACUUUUGCAGAUCUUACAAGCCAAGGAAUUUUAUGAGAAAAUAAUUGGUCAAUCAUUCACAUUUCUGCAUUGUUGGCAUGAAUUGAAGCACCAUCCUAAAUGGUUGGUAGAUUAUUCCAAGAGAAGGCCAAACAGAUCCAAGAGAAAGUUAAAAGUGCUACAACAACUUCUCCAUUCACUCCAAUAUUAGUAGAAGAAUACAAUUUGACAUCAACCUUUGUUGAUUUGGAGAGGCCUUUAGGUAGAAAGGCUGAAAAGGAACGAUUGAAAAAGGAAAAGGGCAAAGACCAAAUUUAUAACAAUAUGACUACGCCUACUUCAUUGCUCUGAGAAAAAUACAUAGAAGAGAAAAAAGAAAUGAAAUAUAAGAGAACGGAAUUUCAAGAACGGAUUAAUUGCCAAAUUUUUCUUGGUCUUUGCAACGACUUGCUACAAAAACCUUCAAAUCCAAACCAAUAAAUAAAAAAGACAUUUGAAACGUAACAUAGGCUGGGGCCAAGGGAAGGGAAGACUAGACCAGGCCAGUCAAGUGGAGGAAACCAACCACACAACUUUUGAUUAUGAAACGCAACUCAACUACAUAUAUAUAUAUAUAUAUAUAUAUAUAUAUAUAGCUUGGAUUGGAUCAAACAUACCAACUGGUCAAAACAGACUCAACACCAUGAAACGAGUUCAGAAGCCUCCUUCGUUUCUUCUUCUUCUCCUUCAUAUUUUCUUCUUGUCCUUGCUUCCGUUGAAGGCCGCCACCUCAUCACCAAGAACACAGGCAAAAGCUCUCAUACACUGGAAAAGCAGCUUUCAUAAUUCAUCAUCUUUACCACCACAUGGUGAUCUCAAUUCAUGGUCUCUCACCAACCUAGACAACCUCUGUAACUGGACUGGCAUUGUCUGCGACCACAACACCAAAACAGUUGCCCAAAUUGACCUCUCCAACUUCAACAUCACUGCAACACUAAUCCAAUUCAACUUCACUACAUUUCUCAACCUCACCCAAUUCAUCCUAUACAACAACUAUUUCAGAGGGCCUAUACCAUCAGCCAUUGGCAACCUCUCCAAGCUCACAACUUUGGACUUGGGCUACAACAAUUUUGGUGAAGAAAUACCAGCGGAGAUAGCCAACUUAACAGAGCUUGGGUAUUUAAGUUUCUAUGGAAACUAUCUCCGGGGCACAAUUCCCUAUCAGCUCAGCAAUCUCCAGAAGGUACAAUUUUUACAUCUUGGAGGCAACUACUUGGAAAAUACCGACUGGUCUGUAUUUUCCGGCAUGCCUUCGUUGACAUACCUUGAUUUUUCCUGGGCUAGUCUUGAUUCAGAAUUCCCAGAAUUCAUAUCUAAAUGUUCGAACUUGACAUUCCUGGACUUGUCUCAAAAUGCUUUCACUGGUCAAAUACCAGAACUGGUAUUUACCAAUCUGGGCAAGCUUGAAUAUCUCAACCUCACUAGUAACAGCUUCCAAGGACCAUUGCCAUCAAACUUUCCCAAGCUCAAACACCUUCAUUCAGCAGAGAACAACUUCAGUGGUCCAAUUCCUGAAGAUAUUGGUUUGAUAUCUGGUCUUCAAAGUAUUGACUUGGCUUGGAAUUUCCUUGAAGGGAAAAUUCCAUCAUCUAUAGGCCAACUAAGGGAACUCCAGUACCUUGAUCUUCGAAAUAAUUUCUUAAACUCUUCAAUCCCUUCUGAGCUUGGUCUUUGUACCAACCUCACCUACUUGAACCUGACUUCCAAUCACCUUGAAGGGAAAAUUCCAUCCUCUAUAGGCCAACUGAGGGAGCUUCAGCACCUUGAUCUUCAAAUGAAUUCCUUAGACUCUUCAAUCCCAUCUGAGCUUGGUUUUUGUACCAACCUCACCUACUUGGACCUGUCUUCCAAUCACCUUGAAGGGAAAAUUCCAUCCUCUAUAGGCCAACUCAGGGAGCUUCAGAACCUUUAUCUUCAAAUGAAUUCCUUAAACUCUUCAAUCCCUUCUGAGCUUGGUUUUUGUUUCAGCCUCACCUACUUGGAUCUUUCGAGAAACCAGCUCUCUGGGUCAAUUCCUCUAACACUAAGCAACCUUUCACAUAUUCAGAGCUUAGAUCUUUCAAACAACAAUCUCAAUGGCUCAUUCCCGACAGAGAUUGCCUUCCCACUCCUGGGGAAUUUUUAUUUGACUCAUAACAAUUUCACAUACAAUACUUUUGUUGGAAACUCUGACUUGUGUAGAGAUGCUAGGGGCCUAUCUAGAGGGUGCAAUUCCAAAAAAAAUAACAAGAAAGUUAUAAUUGGUGUCCUUGUACCUGUUUGUGGUAUAUCAGUGGUUGCAAUUACAAUUGCUCUGAUUCUUAUGUUCCAUAAGAAAACCAAGUGUGCACUUAAGAAAAUCAAUAGUACUGCCCAAAACUUUGAGAAUUUUGAGUCAAUGAUAUUGCAAGAAGAAGUAAAAUUUACGUUUGGGGAAGUUGUAAAGGCCAUAGAGGAUUUUCGUGAGAAGUACUGUAUUGGAAAAGGAGGAUUUGGAAGAGUAUACAAGGCAGAGUUGCUAUCAGGUCAAGUUGUUGCAGUUAAGAGGCUUAACAUGUCAGACUCUAACGACAUUCCAGCAAUCAAUCUACAAAGUUUUGAGAAUGAAAUCCGAACUCUGACAAACGUCCGGCAUAGGAACGUCAUUCAGCUAUAUGGGUUCUGUUCAAGGAGGGGAUGCAUCUUCUUGCUCUAUGAAUAUUUAGAGAGAGGCAGCCUGGGAAAGGCAUUGUAUGGGGUUGAAGGGGUAACUGAACUUGGAUGGGCUACAAGGGUCAAAGUUGUGAAAGGAUUAGCUCAUGCACUCUCUUACUUGCACCAUGAUUGCUCUCCACCAAUUGUGCACCGUGAUGUAACUGUCAACAAUGUAUUGCUGGAGUCAGAUUUCGAAGCCCGACUUUCCGAUUUUGGAACAGCAAGACUGAUUAGUGCUAAUUCAUCCAACUGGACCCAUAUUGUUGGCUCAUUUGGCUACAUGGCACCAGGUAACAUACCAAUUUAACGUUGUGCAUUUUUGGAUCAUGUUUUGGUGGCAGAGAUAUGUUUUGAGACAACUUGGUUUGUUUUUCUCUUGAUGUGCAGAGCUUGCAUUGACAAUGCGAGUCACGGCUAAGUGUGAUGUGUAUAGCUUUGGAGUAGUGGCGCUGGAAGUUAUGAUGGGAAGGCACCCAGGGGAUCUGCUAGAAUCCCAGCUAUCAGAAUCAUCACAAUCAAUGAAGGAGGACAAUGCAGAGUUGUUUUUGAAGGAUUUGUUAGACGAAAGGCUGGAGGCUCCAAGCAAUGAAUUGGCAAAGGCAGUGGUGCUUGUGAUGAGUUUAGCCUUGGGUUGUAUACGUACGCGUCCCGGGUCUCGACCUACAAUGCUUUACGUAGCACAAAAACUAUCAGCUCAGAGUCUGCCUUCCCUUCCUGAACCAUUUGGCAUGUUAACCCUCAACAAGCUGAUGGGGAUAUAAAACUAGUUGGAAAGUUUUCUGUGUGUAAGAGAAACUUGAUCUGUAC
rnacentral:lncRNA from 1 species